rnacentral:lncRNA from 1 species
GGAGAAGUACGCCCUCGACUGCGAUGUCAUCAUCUCCGUGACAAUGUAGCUCCUCCCGAGCCCUUGCAACCAACUCACUAAACGAGGGCUUCUCAUCGAAUAUCACAACCUCGCAUUGCAUGACAACAAACUUAACACAUCCAUAGUCAUCCCUUUCCACAGUGCCUCCAUGAUAUAUGCUCACUACGUUAUCCAUCUAGUACAUCAACAUAACGACGCACAAUUCAUUUAGUCCAUAAUAAAUGAAGCAUUCUAAGUACAAGGUCUCUAGUAUGAAAUGAGAUACUAUCAAUUCACUACUAACUACUAAAUACUACUAACUAACUAUGUCAGCUAAUAUGUACCUAAGUAUAUAACUACUUAACUAAAUAUAGCUAUAUAUCUAACUACGUAAACAAAAUUACAUACGAAGAAAAUUCUAUCUAACUAUCAAUUUAUCUAUCUAACUAUUUUAUCUAACAAUUCUACCUACCUAUCUAAACUAAACUGUACCUAACAAUUCUAUCUUCUUAUCUAGGGUUUAUCUAUCUAACUAAUCAAUUCUAUCUAACUAUCAAGUUAUCUAUCUAACUAUUUUAUCUAACAAUUCUACCUACCUAUCUAAAUUCUACCUAACUAUUCUAUCUUCUUAUCUAUUUAUCUAUCUAACUAAUCAAUCUAUCUAACUAUUCUACUAACUACCUAACUAUUCUACUAACUAACUAUUCUUACCUAACUCACUGCAGGGGAUGGCGCACACGGCAUCCACCGGCAGGGGACGGCGCACACGGCAUCCACCGGCAGGGGAGGGCGCACACGGCAUCCAUCGGCAGCCAGGGGUGGGGGCGGGCGGCCACUGGCGGGCGCCUAGGGG